CAAUGAUGAUGAUGAUGAUGAUGAUGAUGAUGAUGAGGACGAUGAUGGAUGUUCACCAUCACUCUUAUUAUCAUCAUCAUCAUCAUCAGCAGCA
rnacentral:pre_miRNA from 1 species